AGUAAGAUCUUUGGCUGUCCAGUAGAGAGCAGGGCUGCAGCAGCCUUCCCUUACAGUGGGUGGGUGAGAGGCAAAAGGUUGAAGAAGGGAGCUGAAGUAAAAGCAUCACAGGCUUCGUUUGGUCAGGUGCCGGCCACUUUCUUCCUGAACAAGCUAACCUGGACUAAAGCCGCUGAGGGACAUGGCAUCUCCUCGCAGGAUGGACCCGGAGCUGCCGCAGUACACAAAUUAUGUGGUUUCGCGGCCUGUCUACAACGAGCCCUCCUUCCUGGAGCAGCACGAGCGGCAGCUGCGUGAGCGCCAGACAGUCCGCGAGAAACUGGUCAAAUGCUGCAGUUGUUCCAGAAGGAGAGCCAUUCGGAUGCUGAAGUCUCUUUUACCCAUCUUGGAGUGGCUACCCAAAUACCAAGUAAAAGAAUGGCUACUUAGUGACACUAUUUCUGGUGUUAGCACCGGGCUUGUAGCCACUUUACAAGGUAUGGCAUAUGCUCUGCUGGCUGCAGUUCCUGUCGGAUAUGGCCUUUACUCUGCUUUCUUUCCGAUCUUGACAUAUUUUAUCUUUGGAACAUCAAGACAUAUCUCAGUUGGACCCUUUCCUGUGGUCAGUUUGAUGGUGGGAUCUGUUGUUCUAAGCAUGGCCCCUGAUGAACAGUUUAUCUUGCCUAGCACCAAUGACACACUCGACAACAUUACCAGAAUAGACUCUGGUGCCAGAGAUGCAGAGAGAGUGUUAAUUGCCAGCACCCUCACUGUUUUAGUAGGCAUUAUACAGUUGGUAUUAGGAGCUUUGCAGAUUGGAUUCGUUGUUCGAUAUCUCGCAGACCCAUUAGUUGGAGGAUUCACAACAGCCGCUGCCUUUCAAGUAUUUGUCUCACAGCUGAAAAUUGUCCUCAAUGUUUCAACCAAAAAUUAUAGUGGUGUCCUCUCAAUAAUAUAUACUCUGGUUGAGAUAUUUGAGAACAUUAGUACCACAAACAUCGCAGAUUUCAUUGCUGGACUGCUUACCAUUAUUAUUUGUUUAGCUGUUAAGGAAAUAAAUGAUAGAUUCAAACACAAAAUUCCUAUUCCUAUUCCUAUAGAAGUGAUUAUGACAAUUAUAGCUGCAGCCAUUUCAUAUGGAGUCGACCUAGAAAAAAAGUGCAAUGCUGGCAUUGUUAAAUCCAUUCCAAGGGGGUUUUUGCCCCCUGUUCUUCCAUCAGUAAACAUGUUUUCUCAGAUGGCUACUGCUUCAUUUUCCAUUGCUGUGGUGGCCUAUGCAGUUGCUGUGUCUGUAGGGAAAGUCUAUGCUAUCAAGUAUGAUUACGCCAUUGAUGGGAACCAGGAGUUUAUUGCCUUUGGGAUCAGCAAUAUCUUUUCUGGAUUCUUCUCCUGUUUUGUGGCUACCACUGCUCUGUCACGCACUGCUGUUCAAGAGAGCACCGGGGGAAAAACACAGGUUGCUGGCAUUAUCUCAGCCCUGAUUGUAUUGAUUGCAAUUGUGGCUUUGGGGAAGCUGCUAGAACCCUUGCAAAAGUCUGUCUUGGCUGCAGUUGUCAUUGCCAACCUGAAAGGAAUGUUUAUGCAAGUGUGUGAUGUUCCUCGUCUGUGGAGACAGAAUAAGAUCGAUGCUGUCAUCUGGGUGUUUACAUGCAUAGCAUCCAUCAUCCUGGGUCUUGACCUAGGAUUGCUUGCUGGCCUUCUGUUUGGAUUACUGACUGUGGUCCUGAGACUUCAGUUUCCCUCAUGGAAUGACCUUGGAAAUGUCCCUGGCACAGACCUCUACAAAAGCACCAAGGAUUACAAGAAUGUCGAUGAACCUGAAGGAGUGAAGAUUGUUAGCUUUUAUAGUCCUAUUUUUUAUGGCAACAUCGAUGGCUUUAAAAAAUGUCUCAAAUCCACAGUUGGGUUUGAUGCAGUUCAAGUUUACAAUAAGAGGCUCAAAGCACUGAGGAAGAUACAGAAACUCAUUAAAAAGGGACAGUUACGAGCAACAAAGAAUGGCAUCGUCGGUGACGUCUGUGCUACUAAUCAGGGUUUUGAGCCUGAUGAAGAUCCUGAAGACCUGGAUAUCCCAACUAAGGAAAUAGAGAUCCGAGUAGAUUGGAAUUCAGAGCUUCCUGUCAAAGUGAACGUUCCCAAAGUUCCAAUUCACAGCCUGAUUCUCGAUUUUGGAGCAGUAUCAUUCUUGGAUAUUGUUGCAGUGAGAUCACUACGAAUGAUUGUAAAAGAAUUCCAUAGAAUUGAUGUGAAUGUGUACUUUGCGUCACUUAAAGGUAAGUGUAUGUAUGUGUGCAUAUACUUAUUCACAGUUUCCUGCCCUUCCUCAUCCCAGCCCCGUGGAAUUUGGGGAUUUUGUGUGAGUACCUUUCUGAAUGUGAAAACAUGCAACUUCCUUUUUACUCAGUAGCGCUGGGAAUGCAUUGAAACCCAUGCUCUGGUGACUGGGUUGCAUCAGUGAGAAAGUAUAAAAGGGUGAGAUGUGGGUAGAGAUGGCCUUCUCAUUGAAUGAAGACUUACCUCAAAUGGACAUCUUUCCCCUCACCCUCCACUCUCUCUGAUGAAAAGCUUCCUUGAGGGUGAAGAGGUUUACCUCGGGACAGGGACACUUUUAAAGAUACAGAAUGAUCUUUCACUCUGUCUCCCCACCCCCACCAAUAUUUCUCUCUCUAGAGAGAACAUGUAUAAUUUUCUUCUAUGUCCAAUGCACAGUAUUUUCAUUCUUUUGUAACAUAAGUAGAAGACAUGGGCCUAGCUCCCAAGAAUAUUAUAAUAUUUUGCGGGAAAAGGACAUAUAGGCAGUUCUGCUAUAAUGAACAAAUGCGUUCUCCAAAAGCACUCCACUAUGAAAAGUUGUGCAAUAAGAACCAGAGAGCCUACGGAGGGAUGGGAUUAAGGGCAUGAUGCUCAAAAACUUUGUCAGUGUUACAUUAAAAAAAAAAUAGGACCCUAAUUUUUUUUAAAAAAAUAGCAGCAUAGUUUUAUACAUGUUAGAUGGAUAAGAAAUACACAAAUACUGAAAUAGCAGCCCCAGAGUGGAGUCAAGAUGAUGGAGUGAAAGAAAAUAUUUUUGCCUAGUUUACCCAGCACAUGUCCUCUACAGCAACAUAGAAAAUGGUCAGACUAAUGUCUGAUGGGAGAAAGUCAAGAAAAGUCACAGACACAUGGGUGGGGUCUGGCCAACAGUGCAGAGUAGAGAAAAGGGAGUCCCUGGGAAGGAAGCCCUGGGGCAGAAAGAUCUCAGGGUGCUAGAAGCAGGAACAGAUGCCAUCUUGAAGCUCUGUUGCCUAUUACCCAGUUGUGGGUCCCAGAUCCAGGGUAGAAAGGAACAGUUCAAGGGAGCACAGAACCUAGCUGAGUACUGAGCAGGAACAAGCACCAGAAACUUAGCUAUGUGACUGAGCCCAGGAGCAGAGCUACUAUGCAGUUCUAGCCUUUAGUCCAGCAUAAAAGAAUGCAGUGGAAUAACCAGGGGAGGAUGUCCCAGACUAAAGGGGAGCCAGCAGUUCCGUCACUCUAAAUCUGCACAAUCUCCCAGAGGGCCAACAGUCACUGAUUUCAGCAAGAGUCUACUGAAACCCAACCACACACAAGCCAACAGACUCAAACUUGGGUCAAGAACCUGCAGAGCCCAGACCAGGAGAGCCGUGGACAGACUUUCCUGAACACACCACUUUGGGAGCACUGAAAACUCGCAAGUCCCCAGACUGGAUUGUGACAGCAUCAGGAGAACAUAAAAGGACAGGAGCUCAAGCCAGACAUCUGCCCCUCUUCUCCAGAAAUGAGCAGAGCCCAACACUAACAUAAACUCCAAAAUUAAGAAAUAGGCUGGAAGAAUGAGCAAACAAAAAAAAGAACCUGACUGCAAAAAGCUGCUCAGGUGAAACAGAAGCUCAAGAAACACUAGCUAGUGGCAAGGGCUAUGGCCUGAGGCUGCUGCUCCACCUGAACCCCAGGCUGCACAAGCAGGUUGGGCAGGCUGCCACAAUUCUGAGCCUCAGGGCUGGAGAUCUGGCGGAAGGGGGUGGGGUAGGUGAAGGGGGCAGAAGUGACUCAGACCAGCCCUUCUCUACUCACAGCUCCCACUGCAUCAGAAGAAAUACAAUAAAUAUGGCCUUUUACCUUGACAAAGACCUGAAGAUGCAGCUUACCAUGUGAUAGCAAAGUUGG